CUCAAUUUCAGUUAUGUCAGUUUCCUUAUGCUUUUUGUGUUAAAGUACACAAGAAUGCAAUAUUAGCAUGUGUAUUAAAUUGUGCUGAAAUAAAGCAAAUUAUGAAGAAAAAAAUACUUCAUGGCAUGUGUUUGAAAUGUUUUAUUAGCAAAAAGACAAUGCAAGUGAAUUGAAGCUAAGAAGUUCAUCUGAAAUCAACCAUAUGCAAAGGAUAAAAUAAAUGUUUGAGGUUUUUUCUCAUAGCCUUGUCAAAAUUAAAACCUUCCGAGGAAGGAGGCUGGUGGGGAGAAAAGCAUUUAGUUUACAAUUUUGGCCUAAAGUUUUCAAGAUGGUACUUGUUGCUGUGAUGCUGUUGGUGAGCAGAAAGAAGCAAUCUAGAGCUGUGUGGAGACAGCUUGCUUUUCCCACUGGAGGUAGAGAUCUGCACAGGUCUUGGACACCGUCAGACCUGCACAACAAACUGUGUGUAUUGUGCAAGUAAAGAAGCAAAUGGGGAGCAGCUCUUCUAUAACUUGUGAGAGGAGUGCUGAAGUUAGGUUAAUGAGGGUGAAAAACUCUCUGAAUAAGUGUGAUCUUGUUUUGCUUGGUUUGGGCUUUCCUAAGUUGAGUCUGAGUUUUUUUCCUCAGUCGCUUCAAACACUCUCCCAGUAGGAAGUUCUCUGGUUUAUACUUCAGGUGUUCGGUAAUCGUGAAAUACUUCUUGUCAAAGGUAAUGAGGCAAGGCGUAUGUUGGGGUGAGGGAUCACGUUGGGUCUGAAUGUGCAGAAGGCUUUGGGUAUUUAGUCCUUUUCACAUCUAGCUACACCUGAAGAAAGUCUUGAGUUUAGUUAUUGAAAGAGAAUUCUCUCUUUUCCAAAAAAAAAAAAAAAAAAAAAAAAAAAAAAAAAAAAAAAAAAAAAGCCCUCUUCUCCUGCAGUGUUUAGACCAGCUUCAGGCAGUGACAACAGGGUUAUGGGAUGGUAAUACAUAAACUGAAAUGAGAUGCCAUUUGGAAGAUCCCAGAGUUGUAGUCAGACAAACGUUUUAAGCUGGCAUAAGUUGUCAGUGUUGAUAAAAGAAGUCAUUCCACACUUCCUCUGCUUCUGGCUGCUUGUUCUCACUCUUGUACUAUUUCACCGUACUUUCCCUUCUGCAGCCUAAUGGUGAACUGGAAGAAAUUCAGCUGGAAAUAAACUUUGCAGAUUAUUUCAGAGGUUGUGAGGGGGAGGAGUGCAUUGGCAGGGUGUCUCUGCACCCGAUUUCUCCAGACUAGUUCACUAUGUGUCUACACGAACCCCUGUGUCAGUAGACAGCAUCUGGUACCACAAGGAUGGAACUGAAGAAUGACAGCAGGGAGAGAACAGAGCCUUUUCUUCCAGUGCUAGCGCUAGCUUGUCAUCACCAAUGAAACCUGUUUUCCCAUUUAGAGAAACCUGGGGAAAAAGGACAAUUUACCCAUCUGUAACAGCUGGUUCAUCUACCAAAAGAAACUCCUUGAGGAAAUCUUACAAAGUACAGACUAAACGAAACAGAUGCCUCUCGGUAGACUUCUUUGGUAAACACACAGAGAAUCCUCCAUCCAAUUUUCUUCUCUGGUCAGUUUUGGAAGAGGUGCAAUGCUGAAAAUAUGAAACUUCCUUCAUGAAGGUGACAAAGAUGUUUGGCCCAGGUGCUCUCGACUAAUUGGAGGCAUUUGACCUACCAAGCCUAAAGGAGCCUUCUCACCCAUUAUUAGCUGUCUGAAACUUGGUCUGCUGCAGCUCUAAAUCAACACUGUCUUCUUUUCUUUGCCGGUAGAGAGACAACAGGAACUUCCAGAGGGCAAUUCAGCCCAUCCUAAAACAUGUGGGAAAACAGUCUCCUGCACAUGCUGGUUGUGUCUCUGUAUGCAAAGGGAGACUGAAGCCCUAUGUCCAAAUAGAAACCUGAUUUUUGUUGGCUUGUUGGCCUGAGAUGAAUGUUACCCCCUGUAAGCCAUAUCACUCCCACAGGAGGAAAGAUAACCUGUUUCCCCCAGAGCUCUGCCAGUUCUUGAAAUCUCUCUCUUGGACCUACUGUUCUUCUGAAUAUGGCAAUCUAUAAAUGAUACCAUUUGAGACACAAAACAUUAUGACUUACCGAUAUUUUUUAAUUUUGGAUGGCAAGAUGUACUCUGUAUCAACAGGAAAACAGUGUGCUGUGACUACCAAGCAUGGACACUCAUACACAUGGACUUAACGUAGUGGGCUGCUCUUAUUUUGAAAACUAAAUGAAUCAUAAUGAAUUGUCACUUCCCAUAAAAGUGCUCCACAGAAGAGGUCUUGCCCACAUUGGUCCAAGGCAUGUGGGCGCAAUUAUGCCACCAUCUUCUGAUGUACAGAUGGAUGUAUCAGUUUCAUUCAGGUGUCCUGAAAGAUUGGGCUGUGAGAACUACUGUGCUAGGACACCUGUUUACUUUAGUUCCACCGCUGCAGGUCUGGCUUCAGUCAGAAGAUUGCUCAUGGAAUGGACUCUCUGGUCUGGAGUAGAGAAGUGUUACCCCCUAACGCUUUUCUAGGGUAGCCAGUGGCUGGUGGUUAAAACAGGAAACUCAAUGUAAACUGCUUAUCAUUGACAGCAUCCCGGUGCUGGGGGUCCAUUUCCGAGGCUUUGAAGUGGCCAAACUCUCACCUCAUCUCAUACACAUGGAAAUCAGAUCACCAGGAGAAGGAGCAAGCUUGUAAAUCCCAUGAAGAAGCCAACAGGGCAAGUUAGGAAAUGGUGACCUUCAGUGUAUUAACAGUCGAGUGAAGAGCUCUGUGCUGCCGAAGAGGCUGCAGUAAAAAUGGAGAAGAGGUUGGUAGGUCAAUCCAUUUCUCUCUUUCAAGAGUGAGAUAGCGGGGCUGGCUGACACAUACCAGAGAGCCCUUUGAGCUUGCCUUCCUCACAUUUCAAGAAAAGGAGUUUAUCAGACCUGUGAUGUCUGAGAUAGAUCCUGUCCUGAGCUGAAGCGCACCAUCUACCACAAGCAAGAAAGGCCAUGCCCAUGACGUAUAACUAUGUGUACUCUUGAGCCUAUUACCUAAUAGAGACGCAAGAAAAUGGCCCAUCUGUUUGCAGUGGGCAAAUGUGUGAGUACUGCUCUCU
ensembl:lncRNA